AGGCAGUGUAAUUAGCUGAUUGUCCUCUGGCGCUUACAAUCACUAACUCCACUGCCAUC
rnacentral:pre_miRNA from 1 species